GCUGAUGCUGCCCAGCGAUGGGAUGUGCUCGCUCGGAUGCGUGUCCCUUCUCUAUUUCCACCCCUUUGUGAACCAAGUGUGCGAGCCGAUGAGAGAUCGGAAGCUCGCAUGCAAACCCUUAACAUACCCCAAUGAAGUAUCAGAAUGUAACUUGCGUUAACUCGCACAAAUACAACUUUCAACAACGGAUCUCUUGGCUCUCGCAUCGAUGAAGAACGCAGCGAAAUGCGAUAAGUAAUGUGAAUUGCAGAAUUCAGUGAAUCAUCGAAUCUUUGAACGCACCUUGCGCCCCUUGGCAUUCCGAGGGGCACGCCUGUUUGAGUGUCGUGAACUCUUCCACCCUCUACUUUCUUCGGAAGGCAUUGGGCUGGGAUUUGGGAGUUGCGGGUCCCUGGCCGAUCCGCUCUCCUUGAAUACAUUAGCGAAGCCCUUUGCGGCCUUGGUGUGAUAGUCAUCUACGCCUCGGUUUAGCGAAUCAA
rnacentral:rRNA from 1 species